CCAAUAGCGUAUAUUAAAGUUGUUGCAGUUAAAAAGCUCGUAGUUGAAUUUCGGAAUCUGUCCAUCGGUCGGGCUUCACUGUCCGUACUGGUGUGGUGGGUUCUUACCUUCUGAAUAACCAGCAUGCCAUUCACUUGGUGCGUUGGGGAAGCAGGACUAUUACCUUGAAAAAAUUAGAGUGCUCAAAGCAGGCUAGUGCCUGAAUACAUUAGCAUGGAAUAAUAAAAUAGGACGGCAUGGUUCUAUUUUGUUGGUUUCUAGGAUCACCGUAAUGAUUAAUAGGGAUAGUUGGGGGCAUUAGUAUUCAAUUGUCAGAGGUGAAAUUCUUGGAUUUAUUGAAGACUAACUUCUGCGAAAGCAUUUGCCAAGGAUGUUUUCAUUAAUCAAGAACGAAAGUUAGGGGAUCGAAGACGAUCAGAUACCGUCGUAGUCUUAACCAUAAACUAUGCCGACUAGGGAUCGGACGAUGUUAAUUUUUUAAUGACUCGUUCGGCGCCUUACG
rnacentral:rRNA from 1 species